AUUGAACGCUGGCGGCAUGCCUUACACAUGCAAGUCGAACGGCAGCACGGGUGCUUGCACCUGGUGGCGAGUGGCGAACGGGUGAGUAAUACAUCGGAACAUGUCCUGUAGUGGGGGAUAGCCCGGCGAAAGCCGGAUUAAUACAGCAUACGAUCUACGGAUGAAAGCGGGGGACCUUCGGGCCUCGCGCUAUAGGGUUGGCCGAUGGCUGAUUAGCUAGUUGGUGGGGUAAAGGCCUACCAAGGCAACGAUCAGUAGCUGGUCUGAGAGGACGACCAGCCACACUGGAACUGAGACACGGCCCAGACUCCUACGGGAGGCAGCAGUGGGGAAUUUUGGACAAUGGGCGAAAGCCUGAUCCAGCAAUGCCGCGUGUGUGAAGAAGGCCUUCGGGUUGUAAAGCACUUUUGUCCGGAAAGAAAUCCUUGGCCCUAAUACGGUCGGGGGAUGACGGUACCGGAAGAAUAAGCACCGGCUAACUACGUG
rnacentral:rRNA from 1 species